UAGGAUGCCACGACAAUUGUAGAACACACAGUGUUUAACAAGUAACCAAUGAGAAUUUCUGAUCUAUCAAUCAGUUGGUAGUAUCGAGGACUACCAAGAUUAUAACGGAUAACGAGGAAUUGGGGUUCGACAUCGGAGAGGGAGCUUUACAGAUGGCUACCACUUCUAAGGAAGGCAGCAGGCGCGUAAAUUACCCACUUUCGAAUUGAAGAGGUAGUGACGACACAUAACUCUAGAGUUGAGUAAAAUCAAUUCUUGAAGGAAUGAGUAGGAGGUAAAUUCUCCUACGAAAUCAAUUGGAGGGCAAGUCUGGUGCCAGCAGCCGCGGUAAUUCCAGCUCCAAUAGUGUAUAUUAAAGUUGCUGUGAUUAAAACGCUCGUAGUUGAAUUAAAAUGUGAUUUUAUACAUUUUGAAGACUUUACAUUAAGUGAAGUUUCUAGAAAUGUUAAAUUAAAAUCAAAGAAGGAGACAAUUCAAGUAAUUGAGUUGUCAUUACUUUGAAUAAAAUAAGGUGUUUAAAGCAAAACAUUAUGUUAAUGAAUAUUCAAGCAUGGGACAAUGCUGAGGAGAUGUCAAUUAGACAUUUCGAGAGAAGGAUUAAAAGGAACAAUUGGGGUGAUUCAGAAAAUAACGGGAGAGGUGAAAAUCCAUGAUCGCUAUAAGAUGCACGAGAGCGAAAGCAUUUCACUCAACUGGGUCCAUUAAUCAAGAACGAAAGUUAGGGGAUCGAAGACGAUCAGAUACCGUCGUAGUCCUAACUAUAAACGAUGUCAACCAAGGAUUGGAUGAAAUUCAGAUGUACAAAGAUGAAGAAACAUUGUUUCUAAAUCCAA
rnacentral:rRNA from 1 species